CCACGUUUCAGUUUGUUUAGUAAAUCGAUAGGACUGUGAGAGUCAGGCCGCUGCCCUGUCGCCAUUGAGCAAAGCUAAUAUUCUCCCAGCAUAUGGUCUAAAAUCUUUGCUAGAGAUCGGGAAAAAGAAACAAACAAACAAACAAACAACAACAAAAUCCUUAAGCUUCCUCUCCCAAGUCCCCCCAUCCCCACCCCCACUUCCCACCUCCUCGCUUUCAGCAAACUUCCCAGCCUGGGAAAAGUGCGGCGCGGGACAGCGCGACGGGGUGGGUGGGGGACCUGCUGCCGGGAGAUGCGGCGGCGGCCGCGCGGCUGACUGCGACUCGGGAGCUCCGGGAGCGGCCCGCGCAGAGAAAAGGCCCUGUGAGGACACAGCAAGAAGGCAACUAUCAGCAAGCCAGGAAGAAGGCCCUCACCAGAACUCAAUUCUGCUAGCACCCUGAUUUUGGACUUACAGUCUCAAGAACCGAGAGAAAUAAAAUUCUGUUGUUUAAACCAUC
rnacentral:lncRNA from 1 species